GGUGGCAUAGUAAGCAGACAGUGAAAUAUCACGGCUCAACCGUGGGUACAUUGCCUGAACUGCUAAGCUUGAGCAUGAGAGAGGUAGAUGGAAUUUCUAGUGUAGGAGUGAAAUCCGUAGAUAUUAGAAGGAACACCGAUGGCGUAGGCAGUCUACUGGCUCAUUGCUGACACUAAGGCACGAAAGCGUGGGGAGCGAACGGGAUUAGAUACCCCGGUAGUCCACGCCGUAAACUAUGCUUGCUAGCUGUUAUCAGUAUCGACCCUGGUAGUAGCGAAGCUAACGCGUUAAGCAAGCCGCCUGUGGAGUACGAGCGCAAGCUUAAAACAUAAAGGAAUUGACGGGGACCCGCACAAGCGGUGGAGUGUGCUGUUUAAUUCGACGGUACGCGAAGAACCUUACCAAGGCUUGACAUCCUGCCAAGUCCGCCGAAAGGCGGAUGUGCCUUCGGGCCGCAGUGACAGGUGAUGCAUGGCCGUCGUCAGCUCGUGUCGUGAGAUGUUAGGUUAAGUCCUUCAACGAGCGCAACCCUUGUAGCCAGUUGAAUUUUUCUGGCUAGACUGCCCCGGUAACGGGGAGGAAGGAGGGGAUGACGUCAGGUCAU
rnacentral:rRNA from 1 species